GACGAACGCUGGCGGCGUGCCUAAUACAUGCAAGUCGAGCGGAACUGGGGGAGCUUGCUCCUUCCAGUUUAGCGGCGGACGGGUGAGUAACACGUGGGCAACCUGCCCUGCAGAUCGGGAUAACUCCGGGAAACCGGUGCUAAUACCGAAUAGUUUGGCGCCUCUCCUGAGGCGCUACGGACAGCCGGUUUCGGCUGUCACUGCACGAUGGGCCCGCGGCGCAUUAGCUAGUUCGGGGGGUAACGGCCCACCAAGGCGACGAUGCGUAGCCGACCUGAGCGGGUGACCGGCCACACUGGGACUGAGACACGGCCCAGACUCCUACGGGAGGCAGCAGUAGGGAAUCUUCCGCAAUUGACGCAAGUCUGACGGAGCAACGCCGCGUGAGUGACGAAGGUUUUCGGAUCGUAAAACUCUGUUGUGAGGGAAGAACACGUACCAACUAACUAUUGGUACCUUGACGGUACCUCACCAGAAAGCCACGGCUAACUACGUGCCAGCCGCCGCGGUAA
rnacentral:rRNA from 1 species